ensembl:lncRNA
GUAGAAGGAGGGAGGGAAACCGAAAGGGAGGGAGGGAGAGAUUAUUUUACAUAAGCAGCCCUGGAAUUACUGAUUUCAGCCAUUCUUCAACUAAAUCGUAGCUUCUUUCAAGCUGGAGAGGAAAAGCAAUAAGCCCUAGAACUUACCUCAGUGAGUGCUGGAAACAGUUCUUGUGAAGAAAUACCCAUUUGCAAAGCAGUCCAAAUCCCCAGCCACACACAGAGUCUGGAGCUUGUCAAAAUCCCAAACAGUGCAGGCAAGAAACCAUCCAGGGAAAUGACUAUUACAUCAUCUUAAAGGAAUAUGGCUUGGAGAGAGCGGAGGCAGCUCCGAGUCACGUCCGCCUCGGUGACAGGUCGUCGGGACUGCACGGGGACGCCGCGCUCCGGCCGUGGGCACGCGAGUCCCCCGGGCGCUCCGGGCUCGGGGCGGGGACGCAGCGCGGCGCAGCCGCUUCCCUCCCGGUCCUGUCCGGGAGUCUGGAGUUUCCAAGGGCCUUUGCUUUGCCCUUUCGUGCUGUCUCUAGACCUCCACAGCCACCACCAUGCCCCAGAAACAACCCCUCAACCCAGAUGAACACGGCGGUUUUUCAUUUUUAAAAAUCAACAAACGAUUCCUUUGCAUGUGCACUAAAUUUCUGCUAAAGGGCAAAUUGCCCCCUCUAAAGCUUGCUUAAAAGAAAAAAAAGCAUACUCAAUGACCCCAAUGUUCAAGCUACAAAGUGGGUUUUUCUCUCCUCAAAGA